rnacentral:rRNA from 1 species
GACGAACGCUGGCGGCGUGCCUAAUACAUGCAAGUCGAACGCAGUGGGGACGGGUGAGUAACACGUGGCUAACCUCGCAUCAGAGGGGAUAAAACUUGGAAACAGGUGCUAAACCGAUACUGAUGGAUGGACCCGGGGUGCAUUAGCUAGUUGGUGAGGUAACGGCGCACCAAGGCCACGAUGCAUAGCUGACCUGAGAGGGUGAGCGGCCACACUGGGACUGAGACACGGCCCAGACUCCUACGGGAGGCAGCAGUGGGGAAUCUUGGGCAAUGGACGCAAGUCUGACCGAGCAACGCCGCGUGAGUGAAGAAGGUUUUCGGAUCGUAAAACUCUGUCGUUAGAGAAGCGGUAUCUACCCAGAAAGCCCCGGCUAACUACGUGCCAGCAGCCGCGGUAAUAC